UUGUCCAGAGGGACUCCUCUUCACUGCCACUGGGAGAGUCCCAGGAAGAGCCAGCCGGUCCCCAGCUCGAAUCAGCCUCGUGCGUUUGAAAACUUCCAAGGCAAGAAAACUUUGUGGUCGCGGGGCGGCUGCGCCUUGCCGCAGGCUUGAAAGGCCCUACGCGGUCCCCGGCGACCACCUCGCGCAGCCUAGCGUCGCCCGCAGGAACGGUGGGAGCCGGGCGCCGUGCUAAUGGGGCCGGCGGCGGAGCCGGGGACGCCAUGAAAGCCGCGCUCGCAAACACGGGCUCUUGUUGGGGAAGAAGGGCCACGCCUGGCUUUCCGCAGCCGCUUUGAGAGCAGCAGCGCUGGGAUUUCAUGGCACGGCUUCGGCGAGAAAAUCAAUCAGCGGGGCCGCCGUUUGGAGAGGCAGCAAGAAAGGCCACUAACGAGGCCAGAUUGUAACAGUUCUGCGAGCAGCCACAGUGCUCACCUUACACGGCGGACGCGCGCUGCUGGUCAAUGGUUUGGAGACAACGUCUGUGUCUCCCCUUCCAGGAGUUCUGGCUCUGGUCAGUGUGGGAGAGAGCUGGCUUGGGAACACAGAGCCACAUCUCAGAGUCUACACAGAUAGUGGCAAAAGAUCGCUCGCAUCAUCAUUUGCAAGUUAUCUAAAAUGUCAAAGGUGUCCUUUUGAAGUUUAUUACAGAUCACAUGCCAUAAGGCCCGGACGCUAGGGGUUUGAUAUUGCAGAGACGUUUCCCUGAAGAGAAAUGAGCAAAUAUGCCGGCAUAUGUACCCAUCCUGCAAUGGCACUGUAGCCCAGGUUAUGGCCUCUUACCCGUCUUUCACCCAGAUCUUGCCAACCUGCAGGAGACUCCUUAGAACCAGAGAAGAAGGCGAAUGUGGUGCCGUCCACGCUAAGAUGGCGGGAAGCCCAGGGAGAGGAAAUUGAUCAACUAUGCUGUUUUUGAAGGAAAUAAGCUACCAGUUUACCGAAGGAUUAGAGUGAUACUCCAUGUGUGGGUAAGAUGAUGAGCUAUGGGGUAUGCAUGAGUGUGGUGCGGACCCAUGGAGGUGUUUUCACUCAAGGAGCAAGGCUGUGGUGCUGUUGUUCACAGGGACGGGAUCCGGGGCGGGAAUGUGCUUCCUGUGAUGUGACUCUGUGUGUUGAUGAAUGGACUGAAGUGAUGCGGCUGUGUGUGGACAAGCUGCAGACUGUCAGGACUGCAAGUUUGUAGUCUGCACUUCUGUGUUAAGGUCUGCAUGGACCACUGCCCUCCUUUAGUCAAAGUUCCACUCUCCACAAAGUUUUGGUGACCUUGAAGUUAACUGGAGUUCAAAAACAUUAGGUUGGAAUGUUCCAGAAAUAAAUAACUCAUGAGUUAAUUUGAUUUUUAACAUCGUAGCACUACUGUUAAUGUGAUUACUAAUUGUUGCGUGUGUGCAUGUAUCUAACAUGUGUGAUACGGGCACAAGUGCCACAGUGCACCUGUGAGAUUAAGAGGAGAGCUUGCUGGAGUCAGGGUCGUCCUUCCACUGUGAAUUCCUUGGGCCGAGUUCAGUCAUCAGGCUUAUGCAGUAAGGGCCUUGACCCUCUAAGCCCGGCCCACAGUUCAUAAGUCUUAAAUAACUUUUAUUAUAGCUACUGCCACAUUUUCCUGUUGUCAUUUUCUCAUGACAAAUUAUACUUUUUAGCAGACUUGGGCGUACAGGAAAACAUGUGUGGUUCUGGGGUCUCUAUUCAUAGCUUCAGGCACCCACUAGGAGUCUUGAAAAUGGCGCAUGGCUGUGUGCACAUGGCUCUGCCUGUACGUGACACAUGUAUGUGAGAGUACCGUGAGAAUGAUCUUGGCGUGUUUACCCCAGCUAGAGACUCUAACUGGUGGAUAACUGUUAUUGUCCAAUCUGACAAAAUAGAGCCAGCAAACUUGUACCCAUUUUAUGCCUCUUGAUUUAUUCCCCAUGGCUUGGACUGAGUUCUUGAAGAGCAAAACCAAGGCAGGAGUGGCCAAGCGUGUCAUUUGUGAGGGAAGGAUGGUCUUCCCAGAACUUCAGCACCAGAUUCCUGCCUAGUCCCUGAUGCUCCAUCCUGCUCAAGAAUAUGUGUCUCAUCAUUCCCAGCAUGGAGGUCCUCCUGGCUGCUGUCAAUGGCAGCAUUCAGGCACACACAGGCUCCUGUCCUCAGCCACAGGAUUCCCAAUCCAGAAGGGAGGUGAAUAGCUAGCUGAGAGCAUAUUUAUAUACCCACCUCCCUGUCCCCAAAGUUGGCAGAGAAAAAUUGGCUUGUGGGCGAGCCCUGAGAUUCACACCACAGAGCCCAGGCUUGUCUGGGAUGCAGGCGGGCCUCCAGGAUGGGUCCAUCCCAGGAAGGAACUGGGCAUGGGGCAGCUUGGGUUGUACCCUCAGCCCCUCCCUGUGCCAUGGUCUAGUGGUUGCAGUGGCAUUUCUGGUGCUCCCUCAUGAAACCUGAGUGCUGGACCCUGAAUUAUGGCAGUGCUUAGGCUGAUCCACUUGUUGACUUGGAGGAAUGUGGAAUGGGGCGAUUCUGACCGCCACUGCCAACAGCAGCUCUGAGAAUCCAGUGUUUGUCAAUGGAAUUAGAGGUGGUUGCCAUGUGAACACAUUGAAAUGAGUAGGGUAUGGUUUUGUAAAAUAAACUCCUCUUGGUUUGGUUUAAGCUGUCUCGUAGUGGUCUGAGACACUGAGGCCUGACACGUUUACACACACACACACACACACACACACUCACUCUUAGGUCACGCACAUCUGAAAAGAAGCCUCUGUUCCAGACAUUAAUGGCUCUGACCUGGAGCUGAGGAUGAAUCACAGAUGGUAGAACACUAGAACACUUGCCUAGGAUUCGUGAAGCCCCAGGAUUGAUCCCCAGCACCACAUACAACUGGGCAUGGUAGCGCAUGCCUGUAACUAUGUAGUACAA